rnacentral:misc_RNA from 1 species
UUUAUUUUAUAUCCACAUGGAGGAGUCCAGUGAUGGAAAGGGUGUGUAGAAUAAUUCCCUAGAUGCAUUCUCACAGUGCUUCUAACCCUCAAUCUGGUUUCAUCGCUUCUUUCGAGCCACAGCAGCGGCGAUUCCACCUACCACAGCAACGGCGAUUCCGCCCACCAGAAGUCCCACAGCAGCAACAGCAAUGCCUAUGCCAAUCACACCAUCUUUAGCAGUUCGAUCUUCCACCGUUUUCUUCAAAGCUUGAGCCUGCCUCCAAUCCGGUGCAAUCUCCAAGCACUGCUCUAGAAGCAGCCUACUCUUCGAAUAAUCUCCACUCCUGUAAUGCCCCACAGCUAAAAGAUAAAGUUUCUCCCUCAUUUGCAGUGGACUGCUUGAAUUGUCCAACGAGGCUUCUAACAUUGCUAUCCCGCGGUUCACAUUUUCUGGUUGCCUGGAGUGAACUAGAGCCCAAGAUAGCCUCAUAAGGCUUUCAUUAUUGUUUUCUGCACCUCCCUCGACAACUUCCCUCUCACAGCCGGUGAUGAUGUCGCCAUCGCACCAAGGUAUGUUGUCAGCGCCGCUGAAGAAGGAGCCGACGGAGUCGAAGAACUUGCCGAUGUUGGCUUCCAUCGACAAGAUCAGCUCAGGCGAUGAUAGACCUCGGCGUUCGCCGGAUCCGCACACAAGUCAGAGCAGAGGUGGAAGUGG